UCUGGGAGUUCACUUUUAUUCUUACGUUUGGGCUUAACACGUUUUUCUAAAAAAUUCAAAUUAUUUUUAUUUUAAAUUUUCAAAAUUAUGGAGACCUACGGAAUGGCGGCACCUAUUAAUGAUACUGCGAUUGAUUGCUACCAUCAGUAUGUCGCGCAGACUGGUUAUCGUUGCGAGCUACCUGAGGACGAUGACCAUCUGAAGGCGUACACUGACUGUCACGAGCCACCCCAUUAUAAUAGGCUACACGAUUGGUAUCCCCAAAGGUCGAGGAACUAUCAAGAUGAUUGUGCACCCUAUAGAGACUCUGGUUAUCGCUCCUCCAUUAGGAAUGAUGCGAAUAAUGGUCGAUACAGUUCCCGAAAUGGACUAUAUUCUCCUGCUGAAUUACGCAGAGGUGGAGGAGAUACGUUCAACUCGUUGCCAGGUCUGGGUAAUAAUGAUCGCUCAAUGUGGCAUCGGCGGUCGCGAGAUCGUUUUUUCUAGUUUAAACAACGUAUUUAUUUGUGGAAUUUGGAGGUCACCAUCACUCUUUGAGGCGACUGCUGGCUGCAUCUGAUUUCGCACUACUAUUCUAAAUCUUUGGAUCUUGAUGUUAAAUGUUCUUAUCUUUUUUUUGGCGAAUGAAUCUAUGGUUGAAGCGUGUAUGACAUGUAUACUGCACUGAGAAACCGUAUGAAGUAUAAAUUGACUUGUUUCGGUUAAAUGUGCAGUGGAUCAUAGGCGGGAAGCUUGGGCAACUGAUCCGAUGGAGGUGACAAUUGGAAUUGUUUCUCAUGGGCUGUCCAGGCUGCAAACGAAUUCAGCUGUUGAAUUAUUUCAAAAUUGCCAUCUGUGCAAAUCAAUGACUUGUAUUAAAAUAAUUUGAUAAGUUGACUCUGA